rnacentral:rRNA from 1 species
AUGCCUUCUGCUAUGAAGAUGGCGGCGGUGACGGCGGCGGUUUGCAUCGCCGCGCUGCUAUCGCUGGUCCACGUUGUGACCGCUGCCGAUUACAUCGUCGGCAACCCAACCGGCGGCUGGCAGGGAAAGACGGACUACAAGUCCUGGGCUUCGGCCCAAACCUUCCUUCCCGGAGACACCCUGACAUUCAAGUACAGCUCGAACCACAACGUCCUUGAAGUGACCGCCGACGACUACGAAGCGUGCUCCACGGCCAACCCCGUCAUCAUCGACAACAGCGGCACCACCACCAUCGCGCUCACGGCGCCGGGGAAGCGCUACUUCAUCUGCGGCGGGCCGGGCCACUGCCAGAACGGAAUGAAGCUGGAGGUGGAGGUCGCCGACCGCCCUGCACCCACGGCGCCCAGCUCGCCGCCCCAGCUGCCCCCGGCACCUACGCCGCCGUCGCCGGUUCCGAGGACAUGGCCACCGGCUCCGGCACCCGCGGCUGAACCGCCAAGGCAUGCAGGGCACAAGAGGCACAAGAAGAGGCACUCCCCACCUCCAGCUGCGCCCACGGUGGACCCUGCGGAAGCGUACUUCCCGCUCGCGACGCUGGCGCCGAUGUCCUCGCCAGCUGCCUCUCUGCCGAUGUCGUCGGACAGUGCAGCCGCGUGGCAUGGACAGUGGGGCUAUGCCACACUGGGGCUCGUAGCUCUCUGGUUCGCCGUUCUAGCUCUAUGA